AUUCAGAAGAGCAAAGCACUCAAGAGCAAGAGCAACAACCGAAGGAAAAUGGGAAAAGAAGUGAACUUGAAUUAGAAAUGGAAAUGGGAAAGGGGAAGGAAAGUGAAUUCUGGGAAAAAGAUUGGAGAAGAUGAAAUUCAAGAAUGGAUGACGAUGAUGGAUUUUUGUGGAAAUUCUUCAGAUUCUGGUGGUACUGCUACUACUAUAGGC
rnacentral:misc_RNA from 1 species